UACGUAGGGUGCGAGCGUUAAUCGGAAUUACUGGGCGUAAAGGGCGCGUAGGCGGUUCGAUAAGUCCCGUGUGAAAUCCCUCGGCUCAACUGAGGAACUGCACGGGAAACUGACGGGCUUGAGUUCGGGAGAGGGAAGCGGAAUUCCGGGUGUAGCGGUGAAAUGCGUAGAUAUCCGGAGGAACACCGGUGGCGAAGGCGGCUUCCUGGACCGACACUGACGCUGAGGCGCGAAAGCUAGGGGAGCAAACGGG
rnacentral:rRNA from 1 species